AGAACGAACGCUGGCGGCAGGCUUAACACAUGCAAGUCGGGCGCCCCGCAAGGGGAGCGGCAGACGGGUGAGUAACGCGUGGGAAUCUACCUAGCUCUUCGGAAUAGCUCCGGGAAACUGGAAUUAAUACCGAGUACGCCCUACGGGGGGAAAGAUUUAUCGGAGUUAGAUGAGCCCGCGUUGGAUUAGCUAGUUGGUGGGUAAUGGCCUACCAAGGCGACGAUCCAUAGCUGGUCUGAGAGAUGAUCAGCCACACUGGGACUGAGACACGGCCAGACUCCACGGGAGCAGCAGUGGGAAUAGUUGGACAAGUGGGCGCAAGCCUGAUCCGAGCCAUCGCCGCGUGAGUGAUGAAGGCCCGUAAGGUUGUAAAGCUUACUUUCGAGGUAGGAAUAGUAAUGACGGUACCUAACAGAAGACG
rnacentral:rRNA from 1 species